GUGAGCCCACCGAGCUUCGGUGGGGCGCCGCAGGACCCCCAGAGCUGCGAGUGGGGCCGGGCUGCGGGGCUGUCAGCAGGGAAAGGUGAAACGGCGCUGGGAACGAGCGCCUUUAAAAGCGUAUGGAAACGUGAAGCGCUUGAAGAAAAUCCGUGGAUGAAGACGUGUGCUGGGCUCUGAACUGGUGAGGUUGUUAUUUUGAAAGAAGGGAGGGCCCUCUAGAUAAUGACAGGGAGCUUAGCAGUGUGUUUGUGCACACCUGUUUGCUUCCAGCCUGUGUACGUGCAGCCUGACAGAGGCAAUGUGGAGAUCGGUGCGUGCUGCCGGCUGGGUUUCUGUUGGAAUAAGGGUGAGCUCCUCUCUGGAGCAAAUGGCAUCGGCAGUGAGCGUUGGUGCAAUUGGAGUGGGAUGGUCUUUGUGCCGGGGUGCUGGGGAGGGGCAGCUCACCUUUGCUGCCGUGCUUCUCCUCCCUUCGCACGGCAUAACAGCAGCUGCUGGAGCAUGGGAUGGAAUCUUGGAGCUGAUCAAUUGUACAACAGCAGUUCUUCUCCGAUCGCUUUGGCUUCUGAAAUGUAGGAUCCCUCUUUCUACUUUCUUUCUGUUCAGCUGAAAUCGGUAGACUUUUACUGCUGGAAUAAUAAUGGUAACGUGAAAACAUUUCAGAGUGAGAACAAAUUGUUCGUUUCUUGCUUCCCUUUCAGAAGUCGUGGCUGUAUGUACAGGAUUUCAUAAGAAACAAUCUCCGUGACAUCUCUGGAUGAGCCCUUUCCAGGUCUACAGUAUCAUCUCAGCGUAGCACCUCCAUCGCAUUCUCUGCCCAGCUCAACAGUGACAAUAUCUUCACUUUCUAGCACAGAAUGGGAUCGAUGUGUUCAAGCUGUAUUCCACUCCAGCUGUUGCCAGCAGAGCGCUGUCAUUACCUUCUUGCGUCUGUUGCCAGGUGAGGGGGGGCCUUUUCCACUUGGAGCAAACACACGCAGUAACAGUGACGGCAAUGACGUGUGCCUCUGAGUGGGAAAACAAGUCCCCAAGUGCACUGUGUGACCAUUUUUGGGGGUUGGACCCAAUGAUCUCUGGAGGUCCCUUCCUACCUCUGUGAUUCUGUGAUUUCUCCCUUCUACACACAAUAUUUCUGCCUCUGGAUGUUACCUUCCUCAUGCUAAAACCGUGUGUGUGUGGUGGGGAGGAAUUCAGGUGCCGCUGAACGUUUUUGAGCUGAAACAAACCCUGGGUUUUUGACAGUAUCGUGAUUCACAAAGGGAAACAGUGACUUUGAUAGAUGUCAGAUUGGGGACAGAACUCCGCAACAGGAACUGAGUGUUUCAGUGUGGUGUAAUGUCAAAGUUACUGCUAUCGGUUGUGUGCAGGCAGACGAUAAAGUCCACACUGGGUGACUUGGUAUCUAACUUGCUCUUCGUUAUGUUUCUCAAGAAUAGGAGAGGGCCAUGGAGGAAUGUGAAUGAAUAUACUCUGAUGCAAGGUCAUACAAGUGUAUUGUGCUAAUGUCACAUUUUCUGGGACCAAACCCUGCUGGAGCCACAGGUGAGACCUUCUUUGACUCCAGCUUUGGCUCAGACACGCUUUUCUUCAGAUAAUGAGUAAAAUUCUGGUUCUGAUCUCCAUUUCGCCAUUGACUUCAAGAGGAUGAGGGCUGCACUUAGUUUUUCUUAAGCUACGCGGGGAUGUUCAUCUGAUAGUGGGAAAAGCCUCAUUCAACUGCAGCACAAAUUAGGUAAACGAGCUGUGACUUCGGGGUGUGACCUGGAGGUGGGCAUGGUAGGGGGCCUCUUUCUGCCUAAAUCCCUCGAGCAACCUCCAAACAUAGAGAUGUAUGUGUUGGCACUGUAAGUUUCAACUUCUGAGUUAAAACAGCCCCUCCGUGGUACCUCUGGCAGUGGCUGGUGGGUAUGUUGCUCCUGACUCCAGGCAAAAACACCUGGCUGUUGAGUGCUUGUGUGCGGCUUGGGAGGGAUGGAGAAGGCAGGUGGUUAUCAGUGGCCCCACAGCUGCUGUUAGAUUUCUCCCCAUGGUGAGGCAGAGCUCACUAUUGACCAACCUCCAUUUUCAUUAACUCCAGAAGCUGGCAGAGUACACUGAAUAAUUCAAGAGAGACAUGUUUAAACAUUUGCACAAGCCUCAGAUUCCUCCUGGCUAAAAAUAAGCCUGUGAGAAAGAAAACGAUUCUCAUUCGAGGUGCCAGCAGAUGGGCAGCAGAGGCACAGACCCCAUCCCAACACCAUCAUGUCGCUGCUCCCAAGGGGAACAUUGGCCGUAGGGUUUAUCCCCACUGCUGGGGCCAGCCUGAAGGUGGUGCAAAGCAAAGAUACGAACUCACAGAUGCCCUUUGAGGUCAGCAUUUUGGAGCACCCGAGCAGAAGUGGUUCUUCCACAGGGAGAGAUCUGUGCCUUUCCCACCGUAGCUGAGCACCAAUGGGCAAAGCCAGCGUGCCAGGCUCCGUUCUGAUGUUCUACUGAGCGCCUGAGAUUGCUUGCCAGUGUGGUGCACUUCAUGUAUAAAAUAUAUUGGCUUCGUGUCCCCAGGGUGACAAAAAAUGUACUGAGUUCUUUUUUGGAAAAACUUCCAUUGUAUGCAGAACGACAGCUUCUCAGGGCAGCCUGUGAUGCUGCCUCACCAGCAGCCAAAGCCUCGCUGCAUUCUGGGGUUAAAUGCAGUGCUCCGGGGGACUCUAGAAAUUAAAGCCCCCAGAGGUUAUUGUUAAUAAAACCUAAUUAAAUUUGGAUGUAAAUGUAGCGUGCUGUUGCAUUUGCAUCUGGCUUUUGGUGGUUUACGUGUAUAUGUAUGUGAAUUAUAUAAGCAAGCAUACUUGUAAGCAUGCAAACAAGCAUCUGUGCAUAAACAGGUGCUUCUGAACUCUGGUGGUGUGGCUGCAGUGUGCCAGCACCUAACUCAUGGAAUCACAGCAUGGCCUGGGGUGCACAGGAGCACAACGCUCAUCAGUUCCAACCCCUGCUGUGUGCAG